UGGGGAAUAUUGGACAAUGGGCGCAAGCCUGAUCCAGCCAUGCCGCGUGUGUGAAGAAGGCCUUUUGGUUGUAAAGCACUUUAAGCGAGGAGGAGGCUACUUGGAUUAAUACUCUAGGAUAGUGGACGUUACUCGCAGAAUAAGCACCGGCUAACUCUGUGCCAGCAGCCGAGGUAAUACAGAGGGUGCGAGCGUUAAUCGGAUUUACUGGGCGUAAAGCGUGCGUAGGCGGCUUUUUAAGUCGGAUGUGAAAUCCCUGAGCUUAACUUAGGAAUUGCAUUCGAUACUGGGAAGCUAGAGUAUGGGAGAGGAUGGUAGAAUUCCAGGUGUAGCGGUGAAAUGCGUAGAGAUCUGGAGGAAUACCGAUGGCGAAGGCAGCCAUCUGGCCUAAUACUGACGCUGAGGUACGAAAGCAUGGGGAGCAAACAGG
rnacentral:rRNA from 2 species